rnacentral:misc_RNA from 1 species
CUAUCGGAUCGUUUUAGAAACAUUCAGGGGCCAACAGAUCGCCAGAUCGUUGAGCUCCAUUGGCGGGAUUUCGCCGUCUUCGUUUCUCUUUCUUCGCGGACGAACACGCGCCAGGGGCUGCGCUGUGCGAUUGCGUUGGCGCUUGCCGGCGCUCGCAUGCGAGCAAGAUCCCUUAGUCCUUCAAUGGAUAUGCGUUAGGGGCUUGUAGCUCAGUUGGUUAGAGCGCGCGCUUGAUAAGCGUGAGGUCGGAAGUUCAAGUCUUCCCAGGCCCACCACUUUCAUCGAGUGUAAGCAUUCGUCUUCUGGUUACGGGGCCAUAGCUCAGCUGGGAGAGCGCGUGCUUUGCAAGCAUGAGGUCGUCGGUUCGAUCCCGUCUGGCUCCACCAGAUGGCUUGAUCGCCAACGCUCCGAUUGCAGGUAUUCAACCGUCGUCCGCGAAACAUCGCUUCGCACCCACUAGUCCGGAUGGACAGUGACGUGCGUGAUUUCUGACAUCGUAAAGAGGAGAUCGAUCCGAGUUGGAUCGUGCAGCAAAUUGUUGCGCGAGCCUUCAUUAUCUCCGGAUCAUUUCGGCGCUCGCUUUCGGCCGUGAGGUUGAUUGCGGGUUGUAAAUGAUCCUUUUAGCGAAGCUUGACCGCCUCGCUAUCGGAACGAUCUUACGAAGCAAGCUGGUCUUUCUAGUCAAUGUCCGGCUGCACAUAGCGUUCAUCGAGGGCGCGUGCCGCAAGGCAAUUGUGCAGACAACAUUCUGCCGAGUGUGUGGACAUUGAUAAUGAGAGCAAUCAAGUGCCUUAAGGGUGUUCGGUGGAUGCCUUGGCGCUGAGAGGCGAUGAAGGACGUGCUACGCUGCGAUAAGCCGUGGGGAGCUGCGAAGAAGCUUUGAUCCGCGGAU